rnacentral:snRNA from 1 species
GUGCUCCCUUUGGCAGCACAUAUCCUAUAAUUGAAAUGAUACAUAAAAGAUUAGCAUGCUCCUGUGCAAGAUGAUAUACACUCCAUAAUUCUGUAAAACCUGGAA